rnacentral:ribozyme from 14 species
AUACAAACAAGGCAUUAAAAAGUGAGACGAAUUUUCAAUCUGCAUCUCCUUCAUGAAAUUUCAAAUUCCUCUGUUUCUCUUCUUCCUUAUUUAUCAAUCUGCUAAUAUGGGAAGGCUUGGUAAAAAAUCGAAACGGAAGUCUUCGAAACAACAGUUGGCAGCGUUGUCAGCAAAACGAAAAUUGAAAAAG